rnacentral:rRNA from 1 species
GACGAACGCUGGCGGCGUGCUUAACACAUGCAAGUCGAGCGGUAAGGCCCUUCGGGGUACACGAGCGGCGAACGGGUGAGUAACACGUGGGUGACCUGCCUCUAGCUCUGGGAUAAGCCUGGGAAACUGGGUCUAAUACCGGAUAUGACUCCACGGCGCAUGUUGUGGGGUGGAAAGCCUUGUGUGGCUAGAGAUGGGCCCGCGGCCUAUCAGUUUGUUGGUGGGGUGAUGGCCUACCAAGGCGA